GGCGUUUGCUAGUUUUCUCGGAGGGAAACGGUGGCGUUUAUUACUUUUUUUCUGAGGAAAACGGCGUUCCGUUAUUUUCACUGAGGGAAACGGUGGCGUUUCCUAAUCUUUUCCCAGGGGCCCGCCAUGAAGGUGGCGGUGCUGGACCUGGGCACAGCUUUCGCCAAGCUCUUGAAGCCGGCCGCCCCUCCUCCUCCUCCUCCUCCUCCGAAGCCGCCUUCCCCUGCUGCCCUUCUUGCGAAGCCCCUCGGCGGGGUUUGGGCGUCCGCUCCGGGCAAAGCGAUGCUCUUCCUGACCCUCCCCGACAUCGGCGAGGAAGGGGCGACCGAGGCCGAAGCCCACGAAGACGCCUCGCUCCCCAGAAGAGGGUUGUCUAGAAGAUCCUCAGAGCAUUGCUUCCAGGGGAAGAAUGAAGAUGGCCUUCCAGCACCUUUUACCAAAAGCGUACAGGAGGCAAUCGACAACUAUACUUUUGCUUCUGUUUCAUCACUUUCAUCCAGUGGGCAAACAACACCAACAGAUUUGAAUAAUUCUUGGUCAGGGAUCCGGAGUUAUACCACUGGUCCAUCUACUGAAAGAAGCUCUGUUUAUUCCUGGAGAGAUGAUGAAUUUGAUAAAGCUAAUACCCAAAGAGUUCAUCAGCUGUUUUCUGAUGUGGAUGAAAUGUUGUUUGAAGGGAAAGUGAGUUCACAAAUAGAGAAUCUAAAGGCAGAAUGCAAAGACUGGACCAAUAGAUCACUUCACUUAAGGAUCUUGGGAAAACAGCUUCUUUUCCCCAAAGAUCAGGGCUUUCAGCAUUAUCAGAGCAGAAAUCCCAGCUCUCUGUAUUCCAGGUCCCUACCCAGCCUGACUGAAAUCAGCAGUAUGAAAGAGUUAUGCAUCUCAGGAUCUAAACUGGUUCCUGCAACUUUUCCAGUGCACAAGGCCUUCAGCUCUGAAUUACCAGGAGUUGGUUUAUCCGAGGCAUCUGCUUAUUCAUUUUUGGAAGAGGAAAUAUAUGAUGCAGAAGGAAAAAUUGAAGAGUAUCUUGCAUUUGACAACAAGGAACUUGGUGAUGAGAGUUUGGAGCAAAGGAAUUAUCAGCUCGCUCAGAGGAGAAUUAAACAUGGCAUUCCUCCUGUUUCACCCAAUGCCUGUAUCAAAGAUGCUGUGGUUGCUGAAGUGUUUGAUCAUGUAUGGAAUAAUGUAAUUCAAGUACUGGAAGAAUUAAUACAAAAAUACUGGGAAUCCUCUAUCACAGAACAUGACAAGCAAAUAGAGAAACUGAAAGCUACUGGAAAGAAGUUACCACAUCUACCAUUUCCCCGUGUUGCAGUAGAUACAUCAAGUGUACCCCCAUCAAGAGGAUCAGAGGCUCGAAGCACAUCUUUUGGCUUCCAUUUUGUCCCAGCACAGAUUCACCGUUUUCCUACCAAUCCACACAGUGAUUUAAAUGGUGUCAUGACAAUUCAAGCUAAACCGCUACAACAGAGACAUUCAGGAUUGACAGAAAGGAUACAGUAUGUAUUUCAAAGGAAUGAACAGGAAGACAAGUUCCAACGUAUUGGUUCCAGCGUUAACUCUGCACGAAAUCGGAUGGGACGAAUUACUGAUAACAGCAUUCUUUCAUUGUCUCGAGUGUUGCCUGGAUCCUCUAGGAAAAUAGUUGGACAUCGUAGGCUGCUGUCAAUAGCUUCAGAUCCACUGCGUUCAAAAACUGCCAACAUUUAUAGUGAUGAAGUUCUUAGGGGGACAAAAUUGUGCACUACCCUAGAUCGUUUGUCCUCUCCACUUCCACCUACAAUGCGGAACAAGUUGCCACCAAUAAACACAGAUGCGGUUGAUCAGUAUCUUUCAGUUCCUGGAACCCGGCUAGGCUUUCAUAAAGGAAGAUAUCCGCAUAGCAGAAUAUCCAGUGCUGUACCUGGUGGUAUGGAACAGCGGCCACUUAGAGAGCGUACUGUCAUCACAGAUCAGUUUUCAAGACCAAAUACUACUCACACAUUCCGGUCAGAUACACCUCAUAAAAGAUCAUUGACAUCUAUGGAUUUUGCUAACCAUUUGUGGACUGGCCAGGGGGUAGUGACAGGAUUAAUUAUUACCAUAAAGAUAUGGAAGUAUUCCACAAGGGCAGAAUGGCAGAUUUCUGGAUAACUUGUGCAUAAUCUCCAGUGGAUUUUGGAGCUGUGUAGUCAAGAGCCCUGGACAUUACAAUGUUCUCCACUGCAAAGCUGAAGAAUCACUAAAGAUUCAUUAAGAUUAUCUUGGUUUUGAAGGGAAAUUAGUUUGUUAAUGUUGAAUGGAUGGAUGAAGCAAGAAAUAAAGUAUUUGAAGCAUGGAUAAAAAGAUUUUUCCAAGUGAGUCAUUUCACAAGUCCUUAUAAACAACAUUGCAAUGCCUUCAGUUUUCAUCAUCAGCAAGACAUCUAGGAGAAGACAGGGCCAGCUGAGCCUCAAAGACGUCAAAGAGCCUUUCAAAAACCGACCGAGGUAUUCUUACACUUCCUCUUCUUUGACUUUAUCUCCUUCUCUUUCUCUUGUGGUCCCUUUUACUUGUAAGACUGAGAUAAACUCCAUUGUCCUUUUUUGCUUUGCAGCAUCCAGUUGGAUCUUCAUAAGAAUUGAAAGGAUGGAGACAUUCCUAAGCAAAGCUGUAGUUGAGGAAAGAAGACUUGAAGGAAAUAGCCAUCCAGAAAAAGCAGCCCCAUCAUCCCCAACCCAGGCCUCCUACAUUUCCAUCUGGAGCAAGGAACACGUCUGUAGCCCAUGUCUUUUGCUGCGGAAGGAAGGAAAGAAGGAAGGAAGAAUGGAAGGAAGAAUAGAAGGAAGGAAGGAGCUCUGGCCAAGUCUCUGAGACCCAGGGCCAGGAAGGGAUGCCUCAGCAGGAUCUCUUCCUCUCAUCUCUUCGCCAAGCAACUGCCCAACAAAAAGUAACCUUCAAGAAGUCUGCUCCAUCCAAGGAGACUAGUCCAUUAAAACACAGGUGAUUAUUCCUUCCCCUCCACCUAAAGCCCCCUUCGUUCGAUCACUCCCUUGCGACAGCUGUACCUGAUCUCUCAUUCACAAGGUCAUUGUGAAAACCUGUGAAUUCACGGAAACACCUGAACAGACGUCAUCUUCAAAGGACACUAUCACAACGUGAUAGAAAUGAACCCUGUGGAUGCAGAACAUUAAAGAACGAAUGGCAACGUCUCAGAGGAAAGGCCAAAACCCAUGGACCAAUGCCUGGAGGAAUAUGGCAACAGCUUAUUUCCAUGGAUGAAAUGCAUCAGCAAGAUGUCUAGGGAAAGAGAGAAGCAGCCAGGCCUCAAAAGGUGACAAAGAGCCUUUUAAAAACCCACUGAGGUAGUCUUCCACCUCCUCCUUCCUGACUGUUUCUCCAUCUCUUUCCCUUGGAGUCACUUUUGCUUGUAAGACUGAAGUAAACUUCAUUGUCUCUCCUUUCUUUACUUUGCAGCAUCCAGUGCGAUCUUCCAAAGGAUACAAGGAUAAAGGCAUUCCUUAGCAAAAUUGGAGGUGAAGAAGGAAGAUUUGAAGCCAGCCAGGAAAAGAAACCAUGCCUGAGGUCCAUAUCCAUAGCCCACUUAUUGAGGAAAGGAAAGAGAGAGCUCUGGUCAAGUCUGUGUCAUCUCUGAUUUCCACGGCCAAGAAGGGAAGCCUUUGGAGCAUCUCUUCCUCUGGGCUCUUCUCCAUGUAAACACCUUCCAACAGGUAUGGUUCAUGGGCUAUGCUCCACUCAGUGAAACAAAGCAGUGGAACGGAAAUGCCGUUAAGACGCAGGUGAGUAUUCCUCCCUUACAUCUAAAGCCUUGUUUGUUGGAUCGACCCCAUGCGACAGCCAUGCAUAAUUUGUUAACAUUGCACACCUAGCAAACGAGAGAUGGCAUGAAAAUGUCAAAGACAACCAUGACGCAUAUCCCCAAAUGCUGCAAUUUGUGAGUUCACGUGAGCUCAGGCUCAUUUCAGAGGAAAGUAUCACAAGGUAAGUGAUGUCCAAGGAUGAAAUCGGUGAAUACAGAAUGCUUAAGGAUGACGGAGAACAUCUCAAGGAAACUGUCGCAAAGUAAGUGAAGUCCAGAAAUGAACCCCAUGGAUGCGGAAAAGUGCUUACUCUGCAAGCCUUAAGGUAAGAAGGACUGAGUUUGGCCUGAGAAGAGCUGGCAGGUUGGAGGUCGGUGUUCCUUGCCGACAUGCCCAGGGUAGCACUGGCCGCCACUUUUGGGGCCGGGAAGGAAUUUUCCUCCAGGGCAGAUUGGCCCAAGACCCUGGAGGUUUUUCGCCUUCCUCUGGGCAUCUGGCAGAAGCUACCUGUUAGGAAAUAUUUGGAAAAGUAAUGUAUUUUGUUACUGUUGUUAACUGCAUACUGUUGUUAACUGCAUGACUUUGACUCGCCCCAUGGAUGAAACACUCUCCAAGCCCCUCCAUCCUCAACCACUCUCCAUACUUUUUCAGGCUCUGAGCUGUAGCCUCCUUAACUGAGUCUAUCCAUCUGGUAUCUGCUACACCUCUUUAGCGUUCAGUAUUAUAGCUUUGCAUUUGAUGACCUUGUCUAGUUCUUUCAUAGCUGCCCUUCCCAGCCCUAGUCUUCCUCUGAUUCUACGAAUGCAAUCUCCGUUCUGAUCGUUGAUGGAUCCAGGCUAUGAGAGGUCUUUAUCUUUUCCAUUGUAAUCAUUUUCAAGACUGAAUUUAUGCAAGACCUCUGUGAUCAAAAACCUGCCAAGCUGAAAU